rnacentral:rRNA from 1 species
GACGAACGCUGGCGGCGUGCUUAACACCUGCAAGUCGAACGAUGAAGCCGGAGCUUGCUCUGGUGAAUUAGUGGCGAACGGGUGAGUAACACGUGAGUAACCUGCCCUUGACUCUGGGAUAACUGCGGGAAACUGUAGCUAAUACCGGAUACGACCCUCGGAGGCAUCUCCUGGGGGUGGAAAGAAUUUCGGUCAAGGAUGGACUCGCGGCCUAUCAGCUAGUUGGUGAGGUAAAGGCUCACCAAGGCGACGACGGGUAGCCGGCCUGAGAGGGUGACCGGCCACGCUGGGACUGAGACACGGCCCAGACUCCUACGGGAGGCGGCAGUGGGGAAUAUUGCACAAUGGGCGCAAGCCUGAUGCAGCAACGCCGCGUGAGGGAUGACGGCCUUCGGGUUGUAAACCUCUUUUAGCAGGGAAGAAGCGAAAGUGACGGUACCUGCAGAAAAAGCACCGGCUAACUACGUGCCAGCCGCCGCGGUAA